rnacentral:rRNA from 1 species
UCGCGAAAACUUUGCAAUACACGAAAGUGUGACAGGGCUAUCCCGAGUGCCAUCCGCUGAGGAAGGCUUUUACCCAGUCUAGUAAGCUGGGGGAAUAAGGAGAGGGCAAGUCUGGUGUCAGCCGCCGCGGUAAUACCAGCUCUCCGAGUGGUGUGGAUGUUUAUUGGGCCUAAAGCAUCCGUAGCUGGCUGAGUUAGUCCCCUGUUAAAUCCACCGAAUCAAUCGUUGGAUUGCGGGGGAUACUGCUCGGCUAGGGGACGGGAGAGGCAGACGGUAUUUCCGGGGUAAGGGUGAAAUCUUAUAAUCCCGGGAAGACCACCAGUGGCGAAGGCUGUCUGCUAGAACGCGCCCGACGGUGAGGGAUGAAAGCUGGGGUAGCGAACCGGAUUAGAUACCCGGGUAGUCCCAGCCGUAAACGAUGCAGGCUAGGUGUUUGGGCGGCCACGUGCCGCUCUAGUGCCGCAGGGAAGCUGUUAAGCCCUCGCCCUCGGGAGGGUACGAAGUCGCCGAACGAAGUUAGUAACGUUAAAACGGUAAAGUUAGGUCGGGGGACGGGGACCG